AGUCGAGCGAGAAAGCCCCUUCGGGGGUGAGUACAGCGGCGCACGGGUGAGUAACACGUGGACAAUCUACCUCGAAGUGGGGGAUAACUUCGCGAAAGUGGGGCUAAUACCGCAUAAUCUUCUUUUGCCGAGGUGAAAGGAGGAAAGGUUUACCGCUUUGAGAUGAGUCUGCGGCCCAUCAGCUAGUUGGUAGGGUAACGGCCUACCAAGGCGACGACGGGUAGCUGGCCUGAGAGGGUAACCAGCCACACUGGAACUGGAACACGGUCCAGACUCCUACGGGAGGCAGCAGUGGGGAAUCUUGCGCAAUGGGGGAAACCCUGACGCAGCGACGCCGCGUGGGUGAAGAAGGCCUUCGGGUUGUAAAGCCCUGUCGCAGAGGAAGAAAAGGCAACUUGACGGUACUCUGUGAGAAAGCACAGGCUAACUCCGUGCCAGCAGCCGCGGUAACACGGAGUGUGCGAGCGUUGUUCGGAAUCACUGGGCGUAAAGCGAUUGUAGGCGGAUUAUCAAGUCGGUAGUGAAAUCCCGGGGCUCAACCCCGGACUGGCAUCCGAAACUGAUAGUCUUGAGUCCGGUAGAGGGCAGUGGAAUCCCCGGUGUAGAGGUGAAAUUCGUAGAUAUCGGGAAGAACACCAGUGGCGAAGGCGACUGCCUAGGCCGAGACUGACGCUGAGAAUCGAAAGCGUGUGGAGCGAACAGGAUUAGAUACCCUGGUAGUCCACGCCGUCAACGGUGGGCACUAGGUGGUGCGGGUGUCUGACCCCUGCGCCGACGGAGUUAACGC
rnacentral:rRNA from 1 species